rnacentral:rRNA from 1 species
GCGUCAGCCGUCGCGGUAAUACGUAGGGGGCAAGCGUUGUCCGGAUUUAUUGGGCGUAAAGAGCGUGUAGGCGGUCAGGUAGGUCCGUUGUGAAAACUCGAGGCUCAACCUCGAGACGCCGAUGGAAACCCCCUGACUAGAGUCCGGAAGAGGAGAGUGGAAUUCCCGGUGUAGCGGUGAAAUGCGCAGAUAUCGGGAAGAACACCCGUGGCUAAGGCGGCUCUCUAGUACGGUACUGACGCUGAGACGCGAAAGCGUGGGGAGCGAACAGGAUUAGAUACCCGGGUAGUCC